AUGCUCGCGCCGCAUCUCGCCCUUGUGCUCCCGUGCGACUGCUGCCUCCGUUGCGCCGCCCAAGUCGAGGAGCGCCGGGACCGAUUCGCGCUCCCUCCCCUCGGCCUCGGCAGUCAGCUGCCGCCUCCGGCCCCUGCCUCCGCUGCGCCGCCAAAGCCGAGGAGCGCCCACUCCGACUCCUCGCUCAGCUACUCUGCGCACCGCUGCUGCUGCUCGCCUCGCCGACUCGUAAUUUCCUGGACUGUGAGUGAGACACUAGAAAUAGAAGAUGAAGAGGAUUUUUUUUGUCGGUGCCCGCAGCGGGAGUGUCUACACUCUAUUGCUUCAACUCAGUGGAGUCAGGGAGUGUAUUUGCAAGUAUUGAUGAUAAUGAUAUUUGAUAUCGUUUUCAGUCCUAUAGGUCUCGUUGUAGUGGUGUUGGUUCUUCUUCUACAGUUGAUCAGGUCAUGGGACACACAGAUGAAGCAAACAAUUGUUUCGUCAUGGCGGCUAGCUGCUGCGCCAGCAUCUUCUUCACAAGGGCAGCCCGCACUGCUAGGUCUCAUUGCCCGCCAUAGCCACAGGAGGAGAGCACAGAGUUCUUCGAGGAGGUUAAUAUUCACUGGGAUGCUCUGA
rnacentral:rRNA from 1 species